rnacentral:lncRNA from 1 species
UUAGACCCUUGGCAUCAUAAUGUGGGUCUUUUCAGUUUUACAUUUUUUGUAAUUUCUCUCUCUCUUUCCUGAUGUAUCCUUUUAAAUGAGUUUAACUAAUUUACAGCUAUCUUAGGGAAUAGCACAUAGUUGUGUCAGGAGUUUACUUUUGGGAUUUAGAAUAAGCACUGUCUUAGACUUCUAUAAAUCUUAAUUUUGACCAAUGUUGUUAUUUUUGGUGAUAAAAUGAUAUAGUAACAAAAUAGUGAAGCAUGUUUUAUGUUGAAUUUAAGCUUUCUAACCUCUCUUUUUAAGUGAAUAUGCCUUAUCAUUUGAUAAUAUGUCUACUGAAAGCAAAUUGGCCAAAUCUAUCAUUAUGGCCAUUCCCAUUGCUCUAGUCAAUAAUUCAAGAAGUUAUUUUUGC